GACAGAGGGUGCAAACGUUGUUCGGAAUUACUGGGCGUAAAGCGUGUGUAGGCGGCCUCGCAAGUCGGGUGUGAAAGCCCCAGGCUCAACCUGGGAAGUGCGCUCGAUACUGCUUGGCUAGAGUGUCGGAGAGGUUGGUGGAAUUCUCGGUGUAGCGGUGAAAUGCGUAGAUAUCGAGAGGAACGCCUGUGGCGAAGGCGGGUCUCUGGACAGUUCCUGACGCUGAGGCACGAAAGCCAGGGGAGCAAACGGG
rnacentral:rRNA from 1 species